rnacentral:rRNA from 1 species
UACGGGGGGGGGCAAGCGUUGUUCGGAAUUACUGGGCGUAAAGGGCUCGUAGGUGGCCAACUAAGUCAGACGUGAAAUCCCUCGGCUUAACCGGGGAACUGCGUCUGAUACUGGAUGGCUUGAGUUUGGGAGAGGGAUGCGGAAUUCCAGGUGUAGCGGUGAAAUGCGUAGAUAUCUGGAGGAACACCGGUGGCGAAGGCGGCAUCCUGGACCAACACUGACACUGAGGAGCGAAAGCCAGGGGAGCAAAACGGG